GAGAUCUAUUAUUACUUUUAAGGGAUACGUAAAUUGAAAUAGUAAGUUGUACAUUUACAUUGAUUGCAUUAAAUUGAUAGAACUAAUUUGGUGAACUUCUAAUCUAUCUAUCUAUUAUCUAUCUAUCUAUUAUUAUAAAGCUUUGUUUACUUCCCUCACAGCGCGUGACGUCAGCAUUCAACUAGGAAAAUCGGCAUCCGUCAUCUCGACACGUGUCCUUAGUGUGCUAAACGUGCCGUUUCAUUUAUUCGCUACGUUUGUGGGCUUUGUCGCGUGUUGUGUGUUUGGGCCGUGAAGUGUGAAGAAAUGUGUCGUCUCUAAUCCUGAUUUGCAGAGAAGAAACGAGAUCCUCUUCCGUCUUCGUGCGACGGUGACUCUAUGUCGUUUCCGCUUUCUCUUACCUUUUGAAACGGUUUGAGUAAAGAGCCCGUGUUUAAUCUCAUUGAUUCACCCAUCCACUACGUCAUCAUCAAUUCCCUUUUUCGAUCUCAAAGUCGGUGAUUUCAGUAUAAAUAAGUGGUUUUCUUCUCCGAUCUGAAGUCCGGCAACUGCUCCUCCGUCGUCAAGGCUAGGCUUCUGCGGUUUUGGGUCGAUAUGCUUCGUAUCUCUUUUGUUUCGUCAUGAAAAGCGUUUCAAGGAGUGUCCUCAUCCAGAUGAUAAGCAGAGGAACCAACUUAGCAGAGAAUAGGGUUUGGCUCCAAGGCAAAUCAAGUUCUGGUUCCAGAACAGAAGAAAGGCGCAACAUGAGAGACCAGAUAACAAUGCACUAAAGGCAGAGAACGACAAGAGUCGAUGUGAGAACAUAGCCAUUAAAGAAGCACUCAAGCAUGCUAUAUUCAAAGCACACAAGCAAGCAAGGACCCAAAUCACUCAAGAGAAAGGAAGGAGCGUUAAGCAGAUCAGAGCAGUGAACAUUUUGUUGGAAUUAAUUCUCUUUUUAAGUUUUAUUUUAUGGAGAAUUAUUUAUUUUUAAUUUUAAUGGUUUAGGAUAAUUACAAAGAAUAGAAGAAUCUGAAUGAUUUUAUGAUUUAUAUGUCCUAAUCCCUAAUCUUACGUGUAGGUUCAGACUACGCCUUACGUUGGCGAGGCGGUAUGAAGCGACUCUAUAGCUUAGAGGCGAGCUUGACCUUCCCAUCGCCUCAAUGGUUGAAGCGCUUUUUUGAACCCAGAGCCCAAGAGAAAAUGUUAAAGACGGUUGGAUCCAGAUCGAUAGCUGCUAGGGGGAAGAAAGGUUCAGAAAUAACACAAACUCAAGAUGGGAAGGUCAAGCCCGCCUUGACAGAAACUCUUGCCUAAAAAUUGGCAAGAGUAUUGGAGACUUAUGGAUAUAUAUCCAGGUUGAAGUAGAGAUGGUCUAGAGACAUAAUUUACAUGCAUCAUUGUAUCAUUGUGAUGUUACCAAAGCUGUUGGUGUCCUCAAGUAUACAGCUUUUCUAUUUAUUCAAAAUGUGUAUUGCUGCUUUAAAGGAAUGUAAAUUUAAAUGAUAAUUAAUUUUAUAUUUUCAGAUGCACACUAAAAUUUAGGUUGUCUUUAUAUCA